UAGUAAAUUUUCAAAAACAGACUGAUUUAUCAUUACAACAAAUAAAAUGUACCCUUUGUUGUAUCGAAGAUAUGUUUGGAAAUACUGGAGCACGAUGCUCAAAAAUGGAAUGUUGUAAAGGGAUGAAUAAUACUCUUACUGAUUUAUACAGACAAGAUACGUAUAAGUUAGUAGAAGAUACAGAGGUGACUUUAACAAAUUUACAGCAAGGAUUGGACAAGAUUUGAGGCCGAAUUCAAAAAGUUCUGUAGCUAGUCCUGGUACUAGGAUAUAACAAGUUGUUGUUACUUGGUUUGCGGAAGAAACUUAACUUAAUACUGAAUGAGUCAAAGACAAGCAAAACCAGAGAUGGUGGCUCAAUGUUUUGAUAUAUUCGAUAUGUGAAUGAUCGCAGGGAAGACAGG